UACAGAGGGUGCAAGCGUUGUUCGGAAUUAUUGGGCGUAAAGGGCGCGUAGGCGGUGCUGUAAGUCUGUGGUGAAAUCUCUGGGCUCAACUCAGAGUCUGCCAUAGAAACUGCAGUGCUGGAGUGUGGGAGAGGUGAGUGGAAUUCCCGGUGUAGCGGUGAAAUGCGUAGAGAUCGGGUGGAACACCAGCGGCGAAGGCGGCAUCCUGGCCCUGUUCUGACGCUGAGGCGCGAUAGCGUGGGGAGCAAACGGG
rnacentral:rRNA from 1 species